rnacentral:lncRNA from 1 species
CUACAUAAGGGCUGCCUCCGAUGACCAUAGGUUUGAGUCCUCUAGUGCGACGAAGAAUUUUCAAUACCUCCUAAGCCAAGCUGAGGCCCGCAUAAUGGCAUCCUUCUCCUGAAUGACUGGUGGCAGCCCGACCAAAGGAAUUGGCUCCCCCGAUCGAGAAGGAGACAUCCGCUACUUGCCAAUAGUGGGAGGAAUCACUCCACUGUGCUAUGAAAAACUAGAGGUGGAUCUCCAUCCCAAGACAGUGAAGUGACCUCUCUAUAAAAGGGGCUGGGAUCAAGUGCUCCCCAAUGACUCUUAUUGACUAGUGAUAGAUGUUAGCAAGGG